rnacentral:lncRNA from 1 species
AAGUCCGCGGGGCAUGGAGGCUGCUGUCGCUGCAGCAGCUCAGCUUGCCCGGGGCGGGAACUCCCCCUUUCUCCUUUCGCCUCCCCAGCACCCACACCCUGUCUCCCCCUUAAUUCUUCCCUGGAUAAUAGCACCCUAACGACAACAGUCAUAAUAAUAGGGUUAGAACGACAGGGGAGGAAAACUCAACAGCCUAAAUAUCUCUGAAAACUGCAUCGCAAAAUGGAAGAAAGAGGGGGUCCCACUACUGUUUCAAAAGAGAGCCAUGGAAGUCAAAUGCUGAGGAUGGUGGCAUCAUAGGAUGAAUGGAGCUGGGUUCUUGAAACACUGCCUGGAGGAAAGACAGCAAAAAUGCCUCAUGAAUCCAACUGGACUGUUAGCUCAUCUUUACCCUUCAAAUCUCAACUCAAAUGUCCUUCCUCUGAGAGGCCUUCUCUGCCUGCCCUCCCAUGUAAAGAAACCAGCUCCAUUUCUGGGAUGCUCACCCUUGGAGACCAGCAACAAUGUGUGCAGAAACCCAGGCCAUGUGGAGAGGCCCCACAUACGUGUCCAACUGAGGUCCCAGCUGACAGCUGGCAUUGACAUGUGAGUGAGACUCUGAACGUUCCAGCUGAUGACAAGUACAGUUUGAGCGAGCUAUCCCUGUUGGGCCUGUCAAAACUGCAGAUUUCAUGAAGAAAAUAAGUGUUGUUGACUUAAGCCAGUAAGUUUUGACAUACUAUGUUACACAGCCAUAGUAGCUGGAAGAGUGUGAAACAAAUACUAUUCUCUUGUGUCUCAUUUCUCUAUAAAGUAUAUCUUCCCCCUUCCUUGCAUAGGGAUUCUUUCUCCUUUUCUCUCAGACAGUUCUGCUAUUAUCCCUGCUAGUGAUGCUAUUACUACUUCAAAUACUAUUGUUUUUAUAUCUGUUGCUACUACUGAAAAUAAGAUAAUUUUAUAACUAAUGUUGAGUAUGCAUCUACUAUAUAGAUUUACAUCCUUAACAUGUAUUAAAUCACGUAAUUCUUACAUCAAAAGCAUGGAAUUGUAUCACCCCAAGAUUCAUAUGUUGAAGUCCUCACCUUUAGUAUUCACAAUGUGACCUGUUUGGAGAUAUGGUCUUUAAAGAUGUGAAAUGAAGCCAUUAAAGUAGUCCUUAAUCC